UCCAUUUCAGAAAACAGUCAAGGAAACUCAUUAACAAUCACAAGCAAGGAGUUCAAUUUCCACGAAGGGGAAAAAAAAGGGCAAAAAAGAGCACGGAGUUAAAAUUAUAAAUUUUCUUGGAGUUUGCAUAUUGUUCUCACCAUGUUAUAAAAUAUAUCCAAGCUAAAAUGAUUUAAGGUUGACAAGGGGAAAGAUAAACCAACCUUUGCCCUUUCCCAGUACCCAAAAAAAGAGGCGCAAAUUCUUCUGAAGAAAAGAGAAGCAAAUGCAUUUGACGCAGAUUUUUCAUAUUUUAGGUCAAGAAUCAAGCUUCUUAUAUUUCCCAUACUAUUCCCUCAGACAAGGGGAAAGAUAAACCAACCUUUGCCCUUUCCCAGUACCCAAAAAAAGAGGCGCAAAUUCUUCUGAAGAAAAGAGAAGCAAAUGCAUUUGACGCAGAUUUUUCAUAUUUUAGGUCAAGAAUCAAGCUUCUUAUAUUUCCCAUACUAUUCCCUCAAACAACCAAAUGUUAUCCAUUGCAAAAUACUAAGAAGGCCAAAAACUAUGCUUUUCUUCCUAGUCUUGAAAAAACUGACUACCAAUCUGGCAUUUUACAAAUGGUGUCCAAAUUAUGCCUAAUUAUGGGGCAGUUUCAGAAAGAAGAUAAAAUAAUGUGCAUGAAAGUAUUCCCCUACUAUAAUCAAUCA
rnacentral:lncRNA from 1 species